ACGGGUGUAGUUCAGUGGACAGAACGAGGGUUUACGAAGCCCUGCGCCGGAGGUUCGACUCCUUCCAUCCGUA
rnacentral:tRNA from 1 species